rnacentral:rRNA from 1 species
UACGGGGGGGGCAAGCGUUGUUCGGAAUUACUGGGCGUAAAGGGCUCGUAGGUGGCCAACUAAGUCAGACGUGAAAUCCCUCGGCUUAACCGGGGAACUGCGUCUGAUACUGGAUGGCUUGAGUUCGGGAGAGGGAUGCGGAAUUCCAGGUGUAGCGGUGAAAUGCGUAGAUAUCUGGAGGAACACCGGUGGCGAAGGCGGGUCUCUGGGCAGUAACUGACGCUGAGGAGCGAAAGCAUGGGGAGCGAACAGG